ensembl:lncRNA
CCUUAUCCUUCUUACUCUCUAGUACUCUCUAAAACAUAAAGUAAAUGCAGCUAUCACAUUAUUGAAAAUUUUAAAAAAUAAAAAUAUUUGUUAGUGAUAUAUAAUGCUUUUGGAAAAUAUGUUAUCUGAAGUUGUAGCUUAUUAGUUUCAAAAAGUUGGCAUUUAAAGAUUUAUGUUAUGAGCUAGCUGUCUAAUUAAGGAAUUAGAAAUUCCUCACUAAAAAUAAUUAAAUGAAGCUUAAAUUUGUAUAUGUUUAAACAUAUUGGUUAACUCAAGUAUUAGAUACUUUUACAAACAUGAUUAUAAUAGUGGCAAACUGAUGUAAGGCAUUGAAAGAAUAUGCCUAAGUUAAAACCUGCUUUUGUAUUCCAUUCUUCAUAAAAACGAUGCCCAUUAAACAGCCUGGAAAACUGUUUAAAGGAUUUGUUGUUUAGUGAUUAAGUCAUAUUUGACUCUUUGCAACUCCAUGAACUGCAGCCUGCCAAGCUCCUCUGUCCAUGGGAUUUCCCAGGCAAGAAUACUGGAGUGUGUGGCCAUUCCUUCUCCAGGGGAUCUCCCAAACCCAGGGAUAGAAACCUCAUCUCCUACAUAAGCAGGCAGUUCUUUACCACUGAGUCACCAGUGAAGUGAAGUGAAAGCUUCUUAGUAGUGUCCAACCCUUUGCAAUCCCAUGGACUAAAUCGUCCAUAGAACUCUGAGGGCAGAAUACUGGAGUGGGUAGCCUUUUCAUUCUCCAGGGGAUCUUCCCAACCCAGGGACCUAACCCAGGUCUCCCACAUUGCAGGUAGAUUCUUUAAGCCCAAGAAUACUGGAGUGGGUAGCCUAUCCCUUCUGCAGGGUAUCUUCCUGACCCAGGAAUCAAACUGGAGUCUCCUGCCUUGCAAGUGGAUUCUUUACCAACUGAGCUAUGAGACGGCAGCCCACCAGGCUCCCCCAUCCCUGGGAUUCUCCAGGCAAGAACACUGGAGUGGGUUGCCAUUUCCUUCUCCAAUGCAUGAAAGUGAAAAGUAAAAGUGAAGUUGCUCAGUCGUGUCCGACUCUUCGUGCCAUGGACUGCAGCCCACCAGGCUCCUCCGUCCAUGGGAUUUCCCAGGCAAGAGUAUUGGAGUGGGGUGCCAUUGCUUUCUCCGGUGUGUGUGUAUAUAUAUGUGUAAUUGAAUAUGUAUAUACUAGUGUCUCCAAGGAAAUAGCAAAAUUUUGUAAGAUGAACAGAAAGUAAAUAAAAAUUGUAUAUGAGUUAUGGUUGUAAUCACAUGUAUAUCAUGUCUUUUAAUAUAUUUUGCAAUAAUUGAGUCAGCCUGCUAUUAGUUUAAUUAAAUUUUUUACACCUUCUUGAUUAGACAGCUAGUUUAAUGACAUCUUCUACACUUUGAGCUGUGAAGUGUGGCUCAUUUUAAAGUUCUGUAAUGAGAAGGAAGAUGUAUAUCUGAUGAACAUCUACACAGAAUUUUUAAAAAAUGAGUUUUAACUUGUGCAAAAACAUUAGAAAUCAGGGAUGAUUAGCAUUUUGCUUAGGACAAGUUUAGUAUAAGCAUGAUGUAACUGGCUAUUCAAUUCAGUUACUCAGUUGUGUCCUACUCUGUGACCCCAUGGACUGCAGCACACCAGGCUUUCGUUCCCAUCACCAACUCCCGGAGCUUGCUCAAACUCAUGUCUAUCGACUCAGUGAUGCCAUCCAACAGUGUCAUCCUCUGUUGCCCCCUUCUCCUCCAUCCUUCAGUCUUUCCCAGCAUCAGGAUCUUUUCCAGUGAUUCAGUUUUUUGCAUCAGAUAGCCAAAUUGGCCAUUAAAUGGGUGAAAACCAGCAAAAAUCUUUAUAUUGAGUUUUACUCUAUAGGGACAUACUUCAAGUACUUGAUAAGCAAAAGAGAAAGUCUUGUAUGUGUGUGUGUUUGUAUCUGUGUUGAUACACAUUUAGGCAAAUAUUGUUGUAGGAGUGAACAAAGAAUGCUCUGGUGACUUGACAGAUAAUUUAAGAAGAAAAUACUCAUCUAAAUUAUUAUAAAGCAUAUAUAAGACUGGGGAGAAAACAAGAUUGGCUUCCUUUAUUUAACACUUUAAUAUUUCAGUGAUUCCUUUAUGAAGCAAACAUUUGGAUACCUCUAAUGAGCUGAGUAUAAGCUGCCAGGACACCCAGCAGCCAUUUUAUAUUUACUAGAAAAUUAUCAUGGGGUCUCUAGAGCUGGUUAUUUAUAGUUUGAGUCCUUAGACUCUCAUCAAGUUGUUUAUUUUUGCAUUGUUUGAAUUAUAUGGAGUUUCAUAUAAAAACAUGAAUUCUAUGUAUUAGAACUCUAUCUUCACCUUUAUUCAGCUAAAAAAGUAAAGAAAUCACUUUGUCUCUGUACUUUAAAUUGGAAUCGAAAGUCUAAAGUUCUGUAAUGAAUAAAUCUCUAUGAUUCUGAUAGGGUAAGACUAUUCAUUUAAUUAUUCACACUAUGUUAAAAAGUAAUUAUUAGGAAAACAGAACCAGCAUGCUACUCAGUAAUAACUGAAAAAUAUUAGUCUCUUACACUUUCAUUUAUUUACAACUGGGUAUUUGUUUUAGUUUUUAAAAGAAACUAUUAGCAGUGAAUAGUUAGCAUAUAAAUCCUUUAAUCACUGGCCAUUUACCAUUUGUGAACAGUAGAAACUCAAUGACUCUAGGCAUCCAAAUGCCUUUGCUUGUUUCUGAUUAUGGUACAUAGGAUUCUGUCAUAUUUUUCCACACCUUAUUAUCUACUUCUCCUUUGUAAGAGAGAUAGCAGAAAGAGAGGGUAUCAAUAGAACACAAGGGAAGCAAUCACAAUGAGACUGUUCUGUCUGACUGCUGAUGUGUUUGUUGUUUUUUUUUUGACAAAUUUAUAGUUUUCAAUCCUUCUUAUUUAAACGAUGAAUGAAGAUUUAUAUGAUAGAUCAUUGGCACAGAGACCCAUUUGUGGACAGUAUUGGUAUUGUGGAAAUAAUAGAUCUAAACAGUUAACUAAAAAUAUAAUAACAGAUCUCAUAAUGCCUGUGAGAGAGGAACAAGGGAAAACAAUACUGUUAAUCUUUACUUAUGGCUAUUUUCACUUAGAUACCCUAUUUUGCCAAUCCUCAAAUUUAAUUACAAUACAUCAUGGCUUCAUAACUUAAUAAAUAUAGUACAAGACCCAUUCAUCUAAUAUUAAUUCAUUUUUCUUCACGAAGUCCUCAGAUAGGACCAUGUUGUUGCCAUUAACUCUUCAUUUUGAACUCCCCAGUGUAGGCCUUAACCUUCAACAACUUUUUUGAAAUAUAAUCUUUUUUUGUGCUUCUAAAACAAGUCUCCCCCCCCCAGUGGCUUUAUGCAACUAAUAUAUCAGAUUAUAAAAGGGAGCAUACCCUCUACUAGAAAAUCUUAGUGAGAAAAUGAGACUUCUAGAGGAUUCACUCUUUCAUCAAUAUUCAAAAGAAACAGAAAAAAAAAUACUGGAAAGAAUUGUGGAUUCUAACUCAUGAAAUCAAAAGGAUGCAUUCCAUACCAAAAACAUAUACUGAAACUCACCAUGCAUUCACAUGCAUCAUGAGCUUAAAACUCCGGUGUGAUUUUAAGUAUGAUUUUAAAGUAUGAAUACACUUACUUUCAGAUACUUGAACAUUUACAUUUCAUUUCUUUUUUUUUUUCUCAUAAUAUAUGAUUUUAAAAAUUACCAU